rnacentral:rRNA from 1 species
AACGAACGCUGGCGGCAGGCCUAACACAUGCAAGUCGAGCGCCCCGCAAGAGGAGCGGCGGACGGGUGAGUAACGCGUGGGAAUAUGCCCUUUGCUACGGAAUAGUCUCGGGAAACUGGGGGUAAUACCGUAUACGCCCUUUGGGGGAAAGAUUUAUCGGCGAAGGAUUAGCCCGCGUUGGAUUAGGUAGUUGGUGGGGUAAUGGCCUACCAAGCCGACGAUCCAUAGCUGGUUUGAGAGGAUGAUCAGCCACACUGGGACUGAGACACGGCCCAGACUCCUACGGGAGGCAGCAGUGGGGAAUCUUAGACAAUGGGGGCAACCCUGAUCUAGCCAUGCCGCGUGAGUGAUGAAGGCCUUAGGGUUGUAAAGCUCUUUCAGCUGGGAAGAUAAUGACGGUACCAGCAGAAGAAGCCCCGGCUAACUCCGUG